CAGGCCAUGGACAUUCCCCAUGGCCUUCAGUGGUAACAUGGGCCAUGAGCAUCACCAUGGCCUUAGGCACAGGGCAUGUACAUCAGCAUGGUCUCUAGCAUCAACAUGGCCCACAGAAUCAACAUGGUCUCCAGUGUGACUACAGACCAUGGACACCUUCAUGGCCCUCAGUGGCAGUACAGGUCAUGGACAUCAACAUGGUCUCCAGCAGCAACAAGGCCCCUGACAUCAGCACAGCUUCAGAUUCCAUCAAUCUCUUUGGUUACCAGCUACACCAUUCAGCAGCAAGCAAAAGUGCAUGUGACUUCCUAGAGCAGAGAACGUGUAGUUAGAGCAGUCAUGAUCCAGCCUAAGAGGACAGAACCAGCAACAAAGAUAACAGUGAAGAACUGAAGGUGUUGAAAUAAAACGAGAUACUAUGCAGAUAACACCUUCAAGCUAAUGUGCCGGUCCUAGUACUGCUCCAAGGAAGACAAAGCCCUUCAAUUCUUACGUGUGGGAUGGGCAUCAAUUCGAAAGCAACAGGUAAGACAGGCAUGGAGGAGAUAUGAAAUAGAU
rnacentral:lncRNA from 1 species